rnacentral:lncRNA from 1 species
CGGGCGCCGCCGAUGCCCAGUGCAGCGGGUACCGCCGACGCACCGGGUACCACCGUGCCUGGCACCACCGAUGCACCGGGUACCACCGAUGCACUGGGUACCACCAAUGCAGCGGGCAUCACCGUGCCUGGCACCACCGAUGCACCGGGUACCACCAAUGCACUGGGUACCACCGAUGCACUGGGUACCACCGAUGCACUGGGCAUCACCAUGCUGGAAAUCACCGUGCCUGGCACCACCGAUGCACCAGGUACCACCGAUGCACUGGGUACUGCCGAUGCACUGGGUACUGCUGAUGCACCAGGUACCACCGAUGCACCAGGUACCACCGUGCUGGAAAUCACCGUGCCUGGCACCACCGAUGCACUGGGUACCACCGAUGCACCAGGUACCACCGUGCUGGAAAUCACCGUGCCUGGCACCACCAAUGCACCCGGUACCGCCGAUGCACCAGGUACCACCAAUGCACCGGGCACCACCAUGCUGGAAAUCCCUGUGCCAGGCACCACCGAUGCACCGGGUACCGCCGACGCACCGGGCAUCGCUGAUGCACCGGGUACCGCCGAUGCGCUGGGCACCGCCGUGCCGGGAACUGCCAACGCACCACCGUUGCACCGGGCAACUCCGUGCCCAGCAUCAGCGUGCUGGAUAUCACCGUCCCGGGCACUAGGGGUGUUGGGUGUCACCRUGCCGGGCUGGGGCACCGCUGUGGUGACGGGCACCAGCGCGCCGCGACGCUGAACCGGGCAGGGACACCACCGUGCUGGGUACCACCGAUGCACCGGGCAUCGCCGUGCCGGGCCGUGGCACCGCGGGUGCAGCGGGCAUCACCGUACUGGAAAUCACCGUGCCAGGCAGUGGCACCAUCACCAGCAAACUGGACACCAGCACCACGCCGGGCACCAGCACCGCRCCGGGCACCGCCRUGCCGUGUGCACCACCAUGCGCUGUGCAGCGCCGUGCCGUGCGCACCACCGUCCUGUGCACCACCAUGUGUGCACCACCGUGCCAUGUGC